rnacentral:tRNA from 1 species
ACUCUUCUAGUAUUAAAAAGUACAGCUGACUUCCAAUCAGCUAGUCUCGGUUUAAUCCGAGGAAGAGUA